AACUAUAACGGUCCUAAGGUAGCGAAAUUCCUUGUCGGGUAAGUUCCGACCCGCACGAAAGGCGUAAUGAUUUGGGCACUGUCUCAACAAUGCACCCGGUGAAAUUGAAAUACCAGUGAAGAUGCUGGUUACCUGCGCCAGGACGGAAAGACCCCAUGGAGCUUUACUCCAGCUUGAUACUGGGAUUCGAUAUUGCAUGUACAGGAUAGGUGGGAGACUGAGAACUGAUGACGCCAGUUGUCAGGGAGUCACUGUUGGGAUACCACCCUUGUAGUAUUGGAUUUCUAACCAGCAGCCGUGAACCGGCUGGGGGACAAUGUCAGGUGGGGAGUUUGACUGGGGCGGUCGCCUCCGAAAGGGUAUCGGAGGCGCUCAAAGGUUCCCUCAGAAUGGUUGGAAACCAUUCGAAGAGUGCAAAGGCAGAAGGGAGCUUGACUGCGACACCGACGGGUGGAGCAGGUACGAAAGUAGGACUUAGUGAUCCGGUGGUAUAAAGUGGGAUUGCCAUCGCUCAACGGAUAAAAGCUACCCUGGGGAUAACAGGCUUAUCACUCCCAAGAGUUCACAUCGACGGAGUGGUUUGGCACCUCGAUGUCGGCUCAUCGCAUCCUGGGGCUGAAGUAGGUCCCAAGGGUUGGGCUGUUCGCCCAUUAAAGCGGUACGCGAGCUGGGUUCAGAACGUCGUGAGACAGUUCGGUCCCUAUCCGGCGUGGGCGUAGGAUAUUUGAGAGGAGCUGCCCUUAGUACGAGAGGACCGGGGUGGACUGGCCGCUGGUGGAUCUGUUGUAUUACCAAAUGCAUAGCAGAGUAGCCAAGCCGGGACGGGAUAAACGCUGAAGGCAUCUAAGCGUGAAGCCCCCCUCAAGAUGAGAUAUCCCAUAACGUCAAGUUAGUAAGACCCCUUGAAGACGACGAGGUAGAUAGGGCAGAGGUGGAAGUGCGGUAACGCAUGGAGCUGACUGUUACUAAUAGGUCGAGGGCAUAACCAA
rnacentral:rRNA from 1 species